AUACGGAGGACGCGAGCGUUAUCCGGAUUCAUUGGGUUUAAAGGGUGCGCAGGCGGCCGUGCAAGUCAGCGGUGAAAGCCCGGGGCUCAACCCCGGAAGUGCCGUUGAUACUGCAUGGCUGGAAUGCGGUCGAGGCGGGCGGAACGUGGCGUGUAGCGGGGAAAUGCGUAGAUAUGCCACAGAACGCCGAGAGCGGAGGCAGCGCGCCGGGCCUGCAUUGACGCUCGGGCACGAAAGCGUGGGGAUCGAACAGGAUUAGAUACCCUGGGAGUCCACGCCGUAAACGAUGGGCGCUCGUCGUCGGCGGCAGACAGUCGGCGGCCAAGCGAAAGCGAUAAGCGCCCCACCUGGGGAGUACGGUCGCAAGGCUGAAACUCAAAUGAAUUGACGGGG
rnacentral:rRNA from 1 species